UUGCACCCGGCCUGGCUUGCCAAGCGUUGAGCCCUGCUUUAGAUUUGCAUUUUAUUUGUAUUUCUUCCCUUCACCACCAGUCCUAAAGAAAGAAAUAAUUACUUCCUAAAAUUAAAAACAAGCACCAGAACAAGGUAGGGUUUCCCACCCCUCCUCAAGACCUGGCAUCUUUCUGCAUUUCUGCGGGGGCGGGGGCGGGGGUGUGUGUGCUCGAUUUUUCUGAACGGUACAGCACAGAGAACAAUUGGCGACCAAUUUUGGCAUGUAUCCAUUGUGUAGAAAGAAUUUUCUACAGAAACUUUGCUUCCAUAGGCAGAAGAACAGAAGUCAGUCCAAAGGUGUCACGUACAUAUCUUGAGUUGGCUGGACAGAAUUGGAUAGUACAAUCAUAGGCAUUUCCAUCAAACACCCAAAUCAUAUAAGUAUGUUUCACAGAAAUGCAGUCGAUUUCAAGAACAAAUCAGAGUAUUAACACAAACGACAUUGGAAUCAGCUGACUCUGACUCACUGUUUCCCCUUAACCACAAUAAAAAUGGGUCAGGUAAGUAAGUAAUCUUGAUGGCGAAGAAAUAAAUCAAAAUUCAAUAUCAGUUUUAAAAAUUAUUAUCAGUCAUGUAGGAAAGAACUAUAAAACGGAUCCCUUUUCCAAAUAAGAUUGUUUGACCGACACCAUUUUUUGUUUGCUUUUCUUUCGAUUUGCUCAUUCAACAACGCUGAAGGCUUGGACAGAACAGUUCUUCAAUCGCCUCAAAUAAAACGGGAAAUGAAAGGAGGGGACUGGAAACAAUGGAAGGAACAGGGGGAUUCAGUAACAAGGAACAGAAAAGGGUAUUUCCUCUCCUCCAAAGCAAAAGAGAAGAGAAGAGAGGUAUUCCUAUGUAUUUCAAGGACUCCCUAUAUGUCCCCCAUUUUGAGAUUUUGAGUUAGUGCUGGGAAUUGUUCACAAGGGUUCAUAUGAUAAACUGGUUGCUUCAUCUUCUGAUGAAGCACAUCUGAGCAAAAGGAAAAGGAACGGCAGGCCUCUUUCGUUUUUUGAGUGAAUCAUUGCCCCCCCUCUCCAAUAUGGAGGGAAAACUGGUGAGGGGGAGGGGUGAGGUAUUGUAAUAAUCUUAACAUAAAAUUCAGAUGGAAAUUGUUUAAGAAUAGAGGGGGAGGAAAGUGGAUGCCUUACAAUAUAUAUGUUGUUGGGUUUGAUUUUUUUUUAAAAAAAAAAAUUCUUGCUUUACUUCAAACAAAGCUCUGCUGAAAUCUAGGCGUGAUCAAUCUUCUCGACCAAAAUGCCUUGACAGCUUCUGGCCCUUAAGAACACAUUUCGAGCUUCAUGCUCUUUCCUAGAUGAAAUGUGACUGAGCAAAAAAGAAGAAAGGUUGUUGAGGUGGGGGAAGAAACUCUAGUAAAUAAGCAAGAGAGAUGCUGCUGCUUAUUUUCCCGAACGGAUCCCACCUUGCUCUACCCUCUCAAUGAAGGAUAGAAACUUCAGCUUUUUAACUUGCCUGGAAGACAGCCACAGGCCUACGGAUUUUAUUUCAUUAUUUAUUUAUGGAAUAUUGAUGAUAACAGCAAGGCGUUGCUGGUGUGUGUGUGUGUGUGUGUGUGUGCGCGCGCGCGGGCGCCUGUGCGCGCCUGUGUGCGCCCCAGCUUCUGUAUGUUAUGCGUAAAAGAACCCCACAAGGAGAUUUGGUGAUUUCCUAGUCUGGAGCCACAUUGCUGUUAAGUAUAGAGGAAAAUGGUUCAGCGAAGAUAAAAUGCAGAAACAACAAGACUUGCCCAUUACCGUUUCUCGAUUGUCCAUUUUGUCCCGUGGGGCAAAGUGUGCGGGUAAAACAACCUCCGAUCGCUUCCCCUCGCGCGGAGGCGAGAAGAAACUGAGAGCUUCCCCAGCCAACAGGAGAGAACAGCCUGCAGCCGGGCAGCCUGCGGCCUCCAGAGAAAUGUUACAGCACCUGAGCUUCUUCGUUCGAGGAAGAGGCUCUUCCAGAAACAGCCUUUGUUUCUCCCCCGGCUCGCUAGUCUUAGAGCCGAGUCCACCACUUUGAAGAGGAGAACAGCCAUGGACAAAGCGAGAGACUGAGACCACCUAGGACAAAAACAACAACAACAACAAAAAAAAACACACACACACACACACAUACAUCUGCAAAAGAGAGAUGCCGACAAUCAGCCACGGUCACAAACCGGGAUCUUUUCCAGCUUGGAGCAGUUUAGCGCCCUGUUUAGUGCGGCUCUUCUUUGGAGAGGUCGCCAGGCAAGCGCUGACUCAGGAAAAUUACUCGCUGAAUCUGUCCCUGGGUCUGGAGUCAAACGCGAACCACCGGAACGCUUGUUCGACCAGCCUUGGUGCUGCUGGAAGAGGCUUUGUUUGAUUUUAAGGCAACAGAGGAGCGCGCGUACCUUCUGGAAAUACUUAAAUUUUGGCAGCUUUAAAAGUCCAGUCAGAAGGAAGAGGGGGGGAGGGAUUUUAAAGUUUGGCUGUGCAUUUAAAACUCAGGGGGCUCAAUCGUUCCCGAUGUUCUUUUCCUCGUUCCUUUUGUCUUUGGAUUCGGAAUGGAGGAUGGCAUUCAAAUGAUCUAUCAUAAAUUUCUAUUAUUCAGAAUAAAAGCUUUUAUUUAGUAAGUUAAUUUUAAGAAUGUGAGUGUAUCCUUUUGAAAACAAAACUAUGGUCCUUUGUUGUCAAAUCCCGGUUUUACCCGUUUUCUAUUAGAUUAUCUAUAGACAUCCAUUACUUUCCUACUUUGAUGUGUUGUUUUCAGAUUUUAUUGCAUUAUUUCUUUUUUAAAAAAAAUAAAAGAAUUCUGGUUUUCAAAUGAUA